rnacentral:rRNA from 1 species
UACGUAGGGCGCAAGCGUUGUCCGGAAUUAUUGGGCGUAAAGAGCUCGUAGGCGGCUUGUCACGUCGAUUUGUGAAAGCCCGAGGCUUAACCUCGGGUCUGCAGUCGAUACGGGGCUAGCUAGAGUGUGGUAGGGGGAGAUCGGAAUUCCUGGUGUAGCGGUGAAAUGCGCAGAUAUCAGGAGGAACACCGGUGGCGAAGGCGGAUCUCUGGGGCCAUUACUGACGCUGGAGGAGCGAAAGCGUGGGGAGCGAACAGG